rnacentral:lncRNA from 1 species
GACAGGAAGGAGGCGUGGACUUCAAUCUGGAAAGUCUCUGCGGGCCCUUCUCCCUCCCCCUUAGCAAGUCUGGGAACUCUGCCCCAGCCUGGUCCUCGCUCCCCCGCCCUCGCCUCUCCGCGCUUUCAUCAGAAUUCAAUUUCCGCCCGUAAUUCUCCAUUUCCCUAUAAAAUGAAAAUUCAUCUAGAAUUACAUCUUAUGUCAUCAUUAUGUUUAUUAAGCGUGGAUGAUGUAUAUGAACAGGACGGGCUUGCUGCUGAGUGCUUAAUGGUGCAUAAGAUUAAGCCGAGGCUCUCAGCUGCGCAGCGACUC